rnacentral:lncRNA from 1 species
AUUAAGACUGUGAACGCCACACAGGACAAUCUGAAUACCUUGUCUCUAACCCAGCGCUUAGAACAGUGCUUGGCACAUAGUAAGCAUUUAACAAAUAUCAACAUUAUCAUUAUUAUUCAAUAUCCGCAGGUCUGAAAAGUCGUCAAUUUAACGCCUUAUUUAUCUUGCAGCUUGCCGGUAAUACAAUCUCAUCUGCUGAUACGGCAUUUGUCAGCAAUUCAGGUUUCCUCAUCCAGAACACGGAACAGUGCUUGGCACAUAGUAAGCGCUUAACACAUACCGUCAUUAUUAUUAUGCCAACGCAGCUCACAUAUUUCACUGUGUGAGUAUGCACCGCAACACUGCCUUUCCUCGACUUUGUCAGUGUUGUGUCUUUGGCUGUUCUGGAACCGCUGCGUUCCAAGAAGCAACGAUAUCCGUGGGUGGAGAUUGAAACCAAAGGGAAAGAGAUAGUAUUUAGUCCUUCUUAGCAGGGGAGCAGGGUUGGCUGGAUUCCUUUGCCCCCAUCCGCCCCCAACACCCUCUUCUUCCUCCCACCCCCAGGAUCGUGACACCCAGACUCCUCCCCGACUCAGUAGCGAAGGGCUGAUGGAACCGUGGAAAAUUUUGACUGUUGAGAUUUUUUUCCUGUUUACUGGACUGAGAAUUGGGCAAGAGGAGGAGAGGGGAUCACUCCAACGAUCUCACUGCUCACCCACGCUCCCCCCGGGCUGGCAUGGGCAUCAUGGCGGCACAGAAACCCAGGAAGAGAGACCCCCGACAGCAGGAAAGCAGCAAGGUUGAGGGUCCUAGGGACGCCGACGCCCCAGCCCUGACUUGUUUCCCGGUCUCAGCCCCACGGCACUUAGGUCCAUAUCUGUCAUUUAUUUCUUUGUAUUGAUGUGACGAUCUAUUGUUGCAUUGUACUCUCCCAAGCGCUCAGUACAGUGCUCUGUGCACAGAAAGCGCUCAAUAAAUGCGAUGGAAUGAAUGAACGAAUGUCUGUCUUCCCCCUCUAAGCUGUAAGCUCGAUGUGGACAGUGAAUGUGUCUGUUUACUGUUGUACUUCACUCUCCCAGGCGCUUAGUCCAGUGCGCUGGACACAGAAAG